AGAGUUUGAUCCUGGCUCAGAGCGAACGUUAGCGGCGGGCCUAACACAUGCAAGUCGAACGAGAAUGUAGACUUCGGUCUACUAGUAAAGUGGCGGACGGGUGCGUAACACGUGGGUAAUCUACCUUCCGGCGGGGGACAACAGUCCGAAAGGAUUGCUAAUACCGCGUACGUCAGCGGCGCCUACGGGCGCUGUUGGGAAAGAUGGCCUCUCCUUGGAAGCUGUCACCGGAAGAUGAGCCCGCGUCCCAUCAGCUAGUUGGUGAGGUAAUGGCUCACCAAGGCAAAGACGGGUAGCUGGUCUGAGAGGAUGAUCAGCCACACUGGGACUGCGACACGGCCCAGACUCCUACGGGAGGCAGCAGUGGGGAAUAUUGGGCAAUGGGCGAAAGCCUGACCCAGCCACGCCGCGUGAGUGAUGAAGGCCUUCGGGUCGUAAAGCUCUGUGGGGAGGGACGAACAAGCCUGGGGCUAAUCACCCGGGCCCUGACGGUACCUCCUUAGCAAGCACCGGCUAACCCUGUGCCAGCAGCCGCGGUAAUACAGGGGGUGCAAACGUUGCUCGGAAUCAUUGGGCGUAAAGCGCACGUAGGCGGUCUGUUAUGUCGGAUGUGAAAGCCCUUGGCUUAACUGAGGAAGUGCAUCCGAAACUGGCAGGCUAGAGUACUAAAGAGGGUCGCGGAAUUCCCGGUGUAGAGGUGAAAUUCGUAGAUAUCGGGAGGAACACCGGUGGCGAAGGCGGCGACCUGGGUAGAUACUGACGCUGAGGUGCGAAAGUGUGGGGAGCAAACAGGAUUAGAUACCCUGGUAGUCCACGCCGUAAACGAUGAGUGCUAGAUGUUUCUGGUAUUGACCCCGGAGGCGUCGUAGCUAACGCGUUAAGCACUCCGCCUGGGGAGUACGGCCGCAAGGCUAAAACUCAAAGGAAUUGACGGGGGCCCGCACAAGCGGUGGAGCAUGUGGUUCAAUUCGACGCAACGCGAAGAACCUUACCUGGGUUGGAACCCUCCAGAAGUCCGCAGAGAUGUGGAUGUGCCCGCAAGGGAAUUGGAUGUCCAGGUGCUGCAUGGCUGUCGUCAGCCCGUGUCGUGAGAUGUUGGGUUAAGUCCCGCAACGAGCGCAACCCUUGUCGUUAGUUGCCAGCGGUUCGGCCGGGCACUCUAACGAGACUGCCGGUGUUAAACCGGAGGAAGGUGGGGAUGACGUCAAGUCCUCAUGGCCCUUAUGCCCAGGGCUACACACGUGCUACAAUGGCCGGUACAAAGGGUUGCUAACCCGCGAGGGUACGCCAAUCCCAAAAAACCGGCCUCAGUUCAGAUUGAAGUCUGCAACUCGACUUCAUGAAG
rnacentral:rRNA from 1 species